rnacentral:rRNA from 1 species
UUUCAUUUCCUCUUUUGGAAAAGAAAAAUGUAACAAGGUUUCCGUAGGUGAACCUGCGGAAGGAUCAUUG